rnacentral:rRNA from 1 species
AUUGAACGCUGGCGGCAGGCUUAACACAUGCAAGUCGAGCGAGCGGCGGACGGGUGAGUAAUGUCUGGGAAACUGCCUGAUGGAGGGGGAUAACUACUGGAAAGGGUAGCUAAUACCGCAUACCAUCAGAUGGGCCCAGAUGGGUUUAUCUAGUGGGUGGGGUAAUGGCUCCCCUAGGCGACGAUCCCUAGCUGGUCUGAGAGGAUGACCAGCCACACUGGGACUGAGACACGGCCCAGACUCCUACGGGAGGCAGCAGUGGGGAAUAUUGCGCAAUGGGGGCAACCCUGACGCAGCCAUGCCGCGUGAAUGAAGAAGGCCUUCGGGUUGUAAAGUUCUUUCCGUAGCGAGGCGUUAACUACAGAAGAAGCACCGGCUAACUCCGUGCCAGCAGUCGCGGUAAUUC